ensembl:lncRNA
GCAAGAUACAUCCCAGGAAAUAAAAGUGGUGGAACAAAAGAUAGGCACUUUUAUAUUUUUUGUAAAUAUUACCAGAUAGUUAUAUAAAAUACACAGUUACUAAGAGUGUCCUUCACUGUUUUCUAAAGAACGUUUUGGAGUUAUUUACUAUAGAAAAGUAUGGAGGAAAAACCAAAAAUGUUCCAUAGCCGCCGUUGAAAUUUACAAUAGAGAAUUGAAAUAUGUCUGUAGGUCAGAAGUUCAACACCAGUCUCACUGGGCUAAAAUCAAGAAUCAUGUUGUUUGGCUGCUACUGUUAUUACACAAGAAUCCACUUGUGCCUCACCCCAGACCUCUCCUCCUCAUGACACAGGAGCCAGCAAAGGCCUCCUCUCACUGGAUGAAGCUCGUGAGUAUGAGGAGCAGUCAAGCCGUCAAGGUGGAAAAGAGCAAGAACAUGCUCAACACUUUAAGUUUCUUUCAGUGGCCUUUACCUCUUGGUGUCUCAGUUCACAUCGUGAUUUUCAUUGCUCGUGGCGGAUCCGCACCAAAGCUGAGAGAAUCCAGUCUGCCUGCUGCUUUGUUAGGAAUCUGUGAUGUCACCAAUGGAGACAGGAGAGGAGAUACCACAGCAUUUGAAGCAAGUGGGAAGCAACCUACAAAGAUCAGGACUUCCAGAAGCCCAUGGAAAGGCUGAGAUGCCAGUCAAUGAGGAAUGUUCUAUCCUGGGAGGCAGACCCUUAUGACAUCAGACCAACAUCUGUUAUUCUACUGUCAAUAUUUGAGAAAAUUAAGUGGACAACUGCAUAAUUUUUCCCCUGCUCUGAGUGCUCUGGGACCCACCCGAUCAUCAUUCAGCUUUCAAGUCACGUCAUUCCCUUCUCCUUCUGCCCCACCUCUGGACAAGCUGAUAAGAAAGCCUGUGUGCUUCUUCCUUUGGCGCCAGCAGGAAGCUCAAAUCAUGCAAGCCCCAGAACACAUGAGGGAACAUAGAGAUCCAAGCCACUCACUCCUCUUUGCUCACUCAAGCCAUUUUGGGACCUGCUUGGGAGUUUGCCUUGCUCUCCCUGGAAAGUUUCAUUAUGUGAGUGGUAAAUCUUUUCAUACUCUCUUAGUGUGUGUGUGGCAUCAUCAGUCUAGAUACCCGAACCAAAUUUUGGGUGAUGGGAGGCCCAUCUUGUAGCCUUGGACUAUCUGAAAAAUAACCUGUAGACUAUCUGAAAAAUGGCAGUAGCCUUUUAACCCAUCUCCGUAGCUGGUUUCUCUGUCUGGUUUGCACACAAUGAGAGAUUCAUCUCCCCGACAUGCUGCUCUGUUUUUGUCACUUCUCCACUUAAGGUUAGAAUUAAAGCUUUUCAAUUAUUUCCCUACAAAAUCAAGUUCUAAAACCUUAGCCUGGCAUCUAAGGCCCAUAAUUUUAAUUCAAUUUAUCUUUCUAAACUUGUCUCCUCUACUAUUUUUCAAAAACCCUGUUCUUUAGCCAAAUAGCUGAACCACUGAUUCCCAAAGGAAUUUUAAUGUCUGACUUGUAUUUAUAAUUGGCCUUGUAUGUUCUUUUCCAUUGUUGUCUUAAAGUAUUACUUAUAUCUUAUGAUGUUAUUUAAGCUUUCAAUUCUUAACAAUUUUCCUCUACAAGAUUUUAAGAAGCCAGGAAACUUCUUUGUUCUUCCCAUAGGACUUAAGGCAAAGCCUGGCAUGUCAUAUGUGCUUAAUGAAUAUUUAUUCUUCUGAUUUGAUUUUACAAAGAGUCAUAAAUCUACUCCAGGAUUUCUCAAGGGCAAAUAUUAAAACAAAGGAUGAUUUUUGAUGUGAACUUUUCAGCCAAAUUUUAUGUUUUAAUGGUGCAUGACUUUCUGGAUUGGGUUUGGGAAAAUAUUUUUUCAUAUAAAAAUGAAAUGCAUCUGUCCUUUAGUCUGUUGUAUUAAACAAGUUUGAACUUUUCUCACUGUUGUAACUUAUCAAAGAUAACAUUUGCUUAGGCUGAAUUAUUAAAUCAAUUGGCUUGCUUCAAAUGUACUGAUUUUUACAGGAAUUUUUGCAAUCAUAAGCUUUUAGUACAG